rnacentral:lncRNA from 1 species
GUACUUUGGCGUGCAGGGUCAUGAUAACUUUGCAUCAAACCGUCUUCCUGUCUUGCACAUGCGCAGUUCUUACACGUGUCUCACUAAGAAGAACUUGGCAAUGGAGGCGCCAGAGGAAGAGCAAGCGUAAAAGGCAGCCUACAAGAGAUCUUGGACGCGUGGAGAAAGCCAUGGCAGAAUUGCCAUCAGAUUUGAGUCAGCUGGAAAGAUCUGAACAGCACAGUAGCCAAACUGCGGCAGAGGAAGCAGCUGCAGUGAUGGGUCUGACUUUGAGUCAGACACAGUACACCACCCUACUAAAAGAGUAGCAGCUCAAGGUAAGGUUGUGUUGUCACAUUGCAUUACAUUUCCAUUUUAUGUCCUGCUGUCACUGUUUUUGAUUAUGUGCUAUUAAUGACGAGAGAAACCAGAAUGUUAUUAGUUGAUGUCUUUGUCAUUACAGGUUCUUCAGUAGCUCCAACAGCUAUUUCAUCUUUGAAGCGCAGCAAACAAGAAAACGUUGUCUGGAAGCUAAAGCUGGAGAAUGCAAAAGAAAAAAUUAAGUCCUUGGACAAUGAAAGGGACUUCUUAAGGAACCAACUAUCUGAGGCUUUGUCGCUUGCAAAUAAAGAGGACCAAGUGACAGCAGCGCCCUCCUUGUACGAAAAGAGUAUUGAAAAAUCCUCUUCAUCUUCCUCCUCCACCUCCGCCUCCUCCUCCUCAUCCUCCUCCGACAGUUCCUCCUCUUCCUCAUCAUCUUCUUCAGAAAGAGGGAAGAAGAAGAAGAGGAACAACAGCAACAACAAAAAAGACAGCAAGAAAAAAAAAAGGGAAGAAAGGAAACAAAAAGAACACCAAGAUAGGAAAGAGAGUCCUCACCCCAGAAGAGUCCAUGGAUUGCUACAGGCGCGUCUUUGUAGCAGUGAAAAAGGGCAUGACAAAAACGGAGGCAUACGUCAAAGUUGGGGUUGACCGAAAAACGGUGGCAGCAACGGCCGCCAUUUCGGAGCUACACGCUGUUGACAAGGACCUGUAUGACCAGCUGAGGGCAUCAAUGCCCAAGGGAGAGACACUUGAUCUAUUUUCGGCAAAAUGGAAUCUAGAAAUACUUGGCAGGAACCUUCAGGAUAAGGUGAAUGAAAUAAAAAGCAACGGGGAACUUUUGCAAAUUGGACACCGGGCAUAGUAAAGUAGUAGUAUAUAGUUUUUUGUUUCUGUUUGUGUUAUAAAUUGUUAAUAUUUUCUGUAUUACCACGUUAUUAUGUUAUUAUUAUGUUAGAAAUGUUUUACUAAAUUGGCUGUAGAUCCCUCAGUGUCAUCAACAGUGGUUUGGCGUUUUAUAACUAACCCUAAAGUGCUUCCCUACUGGUAAACAAAUGAUUCAAAAAGCUUCACUACUGGUAAACGAAUGAUUCCAAAAGCUUAACUACUGGUGAACGAAUGGUUCGCGAAAGAGUAACAACUCAGUAUGAUGCAUUACUUUACAUGAAGGUACACAAAAAGCUUUACUACUGGUAAACAAAUGAUUCAAAAAGCUUCACUACUGGUAAACGAAUGAUUCCAAAAGCUUAACUACUGGUGAACGGAUGGUUCGUGAAAGAGUAACGACUCAGUAUGAUGCAUUACUUUACAUGAAGGUACACAAAAAGCUUCACUACUGGUAAACAAAUGGUUGAAAAAGCUUAACUAUUGGUGUACGAAUGGUUCGCGAAAGAGUAACAACUCAGUAUGAUGCAUCACUUUACAUGAAGGUACACAAAAAGCUUCACUACUGGUAAACAAAUGGUUCAAAAAGCUUAACUACUGGUGAACGAAUGGUUCAAAAAGCUUAACUACUGGUGAACCAAUGGUUCUCGAAUGAGUAACAACUCAUCAGUCAGAUCCAGCUCCACCAGUCGAUCCAGUGUGGGACCCAAGCCAGCCCUCGACAGCGCUUGAAACCAAGGGCGGCAGGUUAAGCGUGCCCUGCAGCGGUGGACAAUUGCUUUUACGCCAUCAGCAUUACUAAUGCCACAUAAUAAACCUUAAAUGUGAAGAUUAAUGUAUAUACUGUGUGUAUGUAUUGUGAAUAUCUUUAUUAAAAUAUGACCAUCAUCCCGUCUGUGUCCUGUUCAUUUAAUAACUAAUUUUGAAAUCCCAGGAAAAUUC